rnacentral:rRNA from 1 species
GACGAACGCUGGCGGCAUGCUUAACACAUGCAAGUCGAACGGAAAGGCCCUGCUUAUGUGGGGUGGUCGAGUUGCGAACUGGUAAGUCACACGUGAGUUACCUGCCAUUGCCUGUGGGAUAACUUCAGGAAAGUUGGGCUAAUCCCGGAAAAGAGCUCCUGCUGCAUGGUGGGGGUUGGAAAGUUUAGGCGGUUGGGGAUGGACUCGCGGCGUAUCAGAUUGUUGGUGGGGUAGUGGCUUAGCAAGGCUUUGCAGGGUAGCCGGCCUGCUCGGGUGACCGGCCACAUUAGAACUGGGAUAAGGCCCAGACUAGUACGCGACGGAGCAGUGGGGAAUAGUGUACAAUGGGAGGAGGGAUGAUGUAGUAACGCAGCGUGGGGGAUGAGGGGCAUGGGGUAGGAUUCCGAAUCCGCCUGUGACGAAGCGAGAGUGACGGUAACGGGUAAAGAAGCACCGGCUAACUACGUG